GAUGAACGCUGGCGGCGUGCCUAAUACAUGCAAGUCGAGCGAAUGGAUCAAGAGCUUGCUCUUAUGAAGUUAGCGGCGGACGGGUGAGUAACACGUGGGUAACCUGCCCAUAAGACUGGGAUAACUCCGGGAAACCGGGGCUAAUACCGGAUAACAUUUUGAACCGCAUGGUUCGAAAUUGAAAGGCGGCUUCGGCUGUCACUUAUGGAUGGACCCGGGUCGCAUUAGCUAGUUGGGGAGGUAACGGCUCACCAAGGCAACGAUGCGUAGGCGACCUGAGAGGGUGAUCGGCUACACUGGGACUGAGACACGGCCCAGACUCCUACGGGAGGCAGCAGUAGGGAAUCUUCCGCAAAGGACGAAAGUCUGACGGAGCAACGCCGCGUGAGUGAUGAAGGCUUUCGGGUCGUAAAACUCUGUUGUUAGGGAAGAACAAGUGCUAGUUGAAUAAGCUGACACCUUGACGGUACCUAACCAGAAAGCCACGGCUAACUACGUGCCAGCAGCCGCAGUAA
rnacentral:rRNA from 1 species